GACGAACGCUGGCGGCGUGCUUAACACAUGCAAGUCGAGCGGUAAGGCCCUUUCGGGGGUACACGAGCGGCGAACGGGUGAGUAACACGUGGGUGACCUGCCCUCAGCUCUGGGAUAAGCCUGGGAAACCGGGUCUAAUACUGGAUAUGACUCCAUGACGCAUGUUGUGGGGUGGAAAGCCUUGUGCGGCUGAGGAUGGGCCCGCGGCCUAUCAGCUUGUUGGUGGGGGAUGGCCUACCAAGGCGACGACGGGUAGCCGGCCUGAGAGGGCGACCGGCCACACUGGGACUGAGACACGGCCCAGACUCCUACGGGAGGCAGCAGUGGGGAAUCUUGCGCAAUGGGCGAAAGCCUGACGCAGCGACGCCGCGUGAGGAUGAC
rnacentral:rRNA from 1 species